AGUUCGGAUUGGAGUCUGCAACCCGACUCCAUGAAGCUGGAUUCGCUAGUAAUCGCGCAUCAGCCACGGCGCGGUGAAUACGUUCCCGGGCCUUGUACACACCGCCCGUCACACCAUGAGAGUCGGGAACACCCGAAGUCCGUAGUCUAACCGCAAGGGGGCGCGGCCGAAGGUGGGUCCGGUAAUUGGGGUGAAGUCGUAACAAGGUAAC
rnacentral:rRNA from 1 species